GGGCGGAACCACUGUCGGGGCGGGGGGGGGUCGCGGGGGCCGCUCCUUGCUUCCUGCGGGCUGCCGGGGGACGCGGUCCUGUCACCGGCCUGGGGGGUUGAGGGAAGGCUGGCCGUGGUGCUGAGGGACGUGGUGCUGAGGCGGAUGGUGGUGGCAGGGGGUGUUGGACCAGUGAGGUUUCCGUCGGCAGCAACAAUUUACAAGAAACGUUUUGAAGGAACAAACUGCACCACGCUCAAAGAGUUGUACAUCCCUAGGGAUAAACUUGAGAGCAAUCCAACCUGAGACCCCUCGAAGCGCUGACGAUGCUGCUUUCCUGAGGUGCCUGCCCUGCAACUGAAAUGAGCUCAGCAGGGCUGUAACGUACCAGUCAGGACACAGCAGUCUUCAGUCCUCUACUCAGAGCUGUUCCAGAAAUCCACCGUGAGGUAGCAUUCUGCAGUACGCUCCAUCAGCAACAGUGAUGCAGCAUAGAAACCGAUCAGCUGAGGAGGAAAGUCUGAACUAAAAUGCUAAAUUCAGAGUCAGCGGUAAAACUCCCAUCGUGUUUAAUAAAGCCAGAUUUUCAUUCUUUGAUUUGCAUUUGGAAUUUCCU